rnacentral:lncRNA from 1 species
AGUUACACAAGAAGGAACUGAAGCUCUCAGAGAAACAGAAGCUCUUAAAUUUUGGCAGCAUUCAGUAAACUGUCUCACAUUAAUAAAUAACUGACAUAAUUUUAAACUUCUUUCUCCUUUACAGAUGCCUCUCACUUGGCAGCUGGCCUCUUUGCAGCCAAGACAGGAGUAAAAAUUCCCAAUGAUUUCAGCUGGCCUUAGGGUCAGGAGGCUGCAGUGGGAUGGCAGGAUGCAGCACUGGGGGGAGCAGAGAGCAAUAGCUAUUCAGAGAAGACCCCAGUGAAAAAGACUUCGUGCUUCAGGAGAUGUGAAAAAUAUCUAGCUGGAAUGGAGAGAUGGCAACAAGGUCACCAAAUGGAUGCAGCCAGAUGCAAAGGGCAGAAGCCCUACCACUGAGUGCAGAAGUUUCUGACAUAAACAGUAUCCUUGGAAAUGACCCGCUGGUUAAAAACAAAGCAAUAAUAAAUCCCUGCGAAAAACAGUGCUCUGAGUUUCCAUGAAUGUCAUUACCUUCAAAAGCCAUCACAGCCUGUGCUGUGUUAGGGUGGCACUGCGGAGAAGACAGUGGUUGGAAAGGAGGGCUGGCAACAAUGAAGUUACACAGAGAUACCAUCAGAUUAUGUCCAGGGGUCUUUAUCGCUGCGGUACCAGAUUUCCCUGUGCAGGAGCAGAGUUAUCCUUGCAACACCUCUGUGAUAUGGGCAGGCUUUCAUCCCAACUGACUGAUGGAGAGUCGGGGCAUGCUGACAUCUGGCACAUAAAAAUCAAUGCUGUGUUUUGAGAAUGCAGGACGGGAGAUAAAGCACCUUCCCCCACUUACAGAUGCUGCAUUCACAAAAAAAAAAAAAAAAAAAUUAAAAAAAUGCAAGAAUCAUCACAAUUCAUAAACGCAAUCACAAACAGGCACAGUGCCCCCAGCGUCUCUUCCCAAGCUCUUUAAAGCCAGAACUUAUUUUUCCUUUUGGAAAAAAUGCAAAGCGCCGCAGGUAGAGCCCAAGCUUUUCCUUUUUGCAGACUGUCUGCGCUCGCAAGUUUUUGCUGGCUCUGCUAGUGACCAUUUAUUUUGGACUCACACCACACACUUCAGGUUUCAUUCUGCAUUUUUGCUGUAGCCAGAACUAAUACAAUUGGCCGCAUCUCAGCUUGCUUCAAAUAGACAAGGGAGUGGGUUUCCUGAGAGAAAAGGAAGAAACAACAUUAAAGAAAAAAGAGAAAGAGCUUGUUUAAAAAGUACUAUAAAGAUUUUGCCAUGUAAGAACGCUCUCUAAAGACUACGAAACCUACACGUUCAAGGGAUUGGAGUCUGACAAGGCAGAGGAUGAUGCAGAGUUUGCCUGUGCAGAAGCCCGCACCCAAAGGCACAGCCCUGGGUGUUCAAGGGAUCUCGGGCCUCCUGGCUCAGGCUUUCCAAAAAAAAAAAAAAAAAAGCUCCACUUCCACACAAACAGCCAGAACAGGUGGCCAGGAAUUCAAAAGAUUAUGAAGUCCUUUCAAAAAACAUUAACUCCUAAGUGCCAAAGAGGAGCAGUGCAAGUACACAAAUCUUCUGGAAAAACCAGUGACCCUGCAGGAGCUCUGACAGAUCCCAGCUCCCACAGACACAUUUCCAGCUGUGUUUUUUAACUGAGGACCUGAAGCUGCCCACGCUUGGAAUUCAUGGAAUCGUUAAGGUUGGUAAAGACCUCUAUGAUCAUCUGGUGACAGCAGCGGGGUCCAGGGGAAUGGCAUAUAGCUGCUUCAGGGGAGGAGCAGCUGGGGGUUAGGGAAAGGUUC